rnacentral:rRNA from 1 species
CCUAGCCAGUAUGCCUGAGCAUAGAGUACUUUAGUUCAGCCCCCCGAAACUAAGCGAGCUACUUCAAGACAGCCUAUGUUGGGCAAACCCGUCUCUGUUGCAAAAGAGUGGGACGAUCUUCAAGUAGAGGUGACAAACCUAUCGAGCCUAGUAAUAGCUGGUUGUCUGAGAAGUGUAUAUAAGUUCAGCCUUCCGACUCCCCCCAUCACCGACAUCCUUGUCACCUAAGACUGAGGGCGACCGGUAGAGUUAGUCAAAGAGGGUACAGCCCCUUUGAAAAAGGACACAACCUCAACAGGAGACUUAAGAUCAUAAUCAACCCAAGGACACUUGUUUUAGUGGGCCUAAAAGCAGCCACCUAAGAAGAAAGCGUUAAAGCUCAUGCAAAUCCUGACCCCCAAUACCGAACCAAACUCUUCACUCCCUAAUCACUACCAGACCAUCCCACCCACCCUGGGAGAGACCCUGCUAGAAUGAGUAACAAGAGGGGCCUGCCCCUCUCCCUUACACAUGUGUAAGUCGGAACGGACUCUCCGCCGACAACUAACGAUCCCCCAUCAGAGGGGAAUGUAAAACUUCCUUGAUAACUAGAGAAACUAACACAACCCAUUCGUUAACCCAACACAGGUGUGCCCACUAGGAAAGACUUAAACAAAGGGAAGGAACUCGGCAAACACAAGCCUCGCCUGUUUACCAAAAACAUCGCCUCUUGCAAAACGAACGAAUAAGAGGUCCCGCCUGCCCUGUGACUAUAUGUUUAACGGCCGCGGUAUUUUGACCGUGCGAAGGUAGCGCAAUCACUUGUCUUUUAAAUGGAGACCUGUAUGAAAGGCACCACGAGGGCUUAGCUGUCUCCCCUUUAAGGUCAGUGAAAUUGAUCUCCCCGUGCAGAAGCGGGGAUAUACUCGUAAGACGAGAAGACCCUAUGGAGCUUAAGAUAUAAAGCGACCCAAGUCAAGCACCCCGCCGAGGGAACAGAACAAUAUGGACCCCGCUGAAAUAUCUUCGGUUGGGGCGACCGCGGGGAAAGACAAAACCCCCACAUGGACUGGGGCCAUAACAGCCUCAAAACCUAGACCCACAGGUCAAAGCAACAGUACUUCUGACCACCAAAGAGCCGGCAAAGCCGAUCGACGGACCGAGUUACCCUAGGGAUAACAGCGCAAUCCCCUCCCAGAGCCCUUAUCGACAAGGGGGUUUACGACCUCGAUGUUGGAUCAGGACAUCCUAAUGGUGCAGCCGCUAUUAAGG